rnacentral:lncRNA from 1 species
AUAGACAAAGAAAGAAAAACUCUACCAAAGGUUAUAUGAUUAAGACCAAUGUGAAAAUAUCGAGAAAAAAUAUGGUCUUGUAGGGCUAGGUUUAAACCAGAAUUUAUAGAAAAAUUAAAAGAUUCCCUAAGUGUAGCUAAAAUUUCAUUAUCUUCUUGAUUAAAAGAUAGGACUUUAGCUAUAGGAAAGGGUUGGUUUUGACGUAUUGCAAUCAACUCCGGACACAGAUCAUAAUUAGGGGCAAAGAAGGGACUUGUUGACUCCCAUGGUCUAUGGCUGGUCUCCGAAGGUGCAAAGAAUUCAAUAAUAGGUAUGGAAUUUGUGUUAUCCAUAAAGAUGGAAAAAAUAAAAAGAUAAAAGAAU